GCUCCAAUAGCGUAUAUUAAAGUUGUUGCAGUUAAAAAGCUCGUAGUUGGAUUUGUGGUGUACUUCGGCGGCCGUCACUAUGUGAUGGAGCUUGCUGAAGUCGCCAUCCUUGGGUGGAUCCUGUGUGGCAUUAAGUUGUCGUGCAGGGGAUGCCAUCGUUACUGUGAAAAAAAUUAGAGUGUUCAAAGCAGGCUUAUGCC
rnacentral:rRNA from 1 species